UGCUUGCUUCAGCAGCAAUAUAUUAAAGUUGGAACCAUACAGAGAAGAUUAGCAUGGCCCCUGCACAAGGAUGGCAUGCAAAUUCAUGAAGCAUACCGUAUUUUU
ensembl:snRNA U6 U6 spliceosomal RNA